CUAAUUAUGUGAAUAUUUUGGCCCAUCCCCCAUCAAGCCACCAUACUUAUUCUACUCAUUUCCAAGACAGGAGGACAUCAGCAUACUUCAUCUAUAAACAGAGACUCUGGGGAACCGGAGGAGGAAAUCCUCUCUGAGCUCGUUUGAAGGUUUAAAAGUGAGAUUUGAGUUUACUGUCAAACAACAACUCUGCUUCUCUUCCGUCUUUUUACCUCCAUAAAAAGAUCAGAUGUUUUUAUUACUACAUGUAAUAAAUGAGUCUCUGAAGGAGGUGAAGACCUCUGUAGAACCUCUGGAUCACCACUUCAUCACUACAUUAAGAGGAGCAUCGUGGUGCAAUGAGGUAUCACACUGGAUGGUGCGUUCAAUGUCACUGGGGUUUUCAUCAUUGAAUUGAACACGAUCAUAGCUGUGCACUGGUGUUAUUCUAUUGAUUAGUGUCAACAUGACAGCGGUGUCCCACUAUUCUCAUGUCUUUAUUGAUCACAUAGUGUCAGAAUCAGGGCUGUAUCCUGGUGGACACUAAAUGCAUUUUAUCCAUUGGUCUAAUUCAUGAAGCGUCGUCAGUCUGACUACUGUAACUCUCUCCUGCAGGUCUCCUGCUACCACCAUUCCACCUCUGCAGCUCAUCCACAAUGCAGCAGCUCCACUGCUCUUUAACCUUCCUAAGUCCUCUAAACAUGGUGCUCACGUACCGUGCUGUGAAUGGAUGGGGUCCAGCUUACAUCCAGGACCUGGUCCAACCCGACAUCCCGACCCGCACUCUCCGCUCUGCAUGUGAUAAACUGCUUGUUCCUCCUCACUGAGAGCAAAACACUCGACUAGAUCUCCACUCUUUGCUGUCCUGCUCCUAAAUGGUGGAAGGAGGUCUCUGAAGACAUCAGGACCACAGAGAGCCUUCACAUCUUCAGACUAAAGACACACCUCUUCAGACUCUACCUCCACUAACACACUAACUAACUGUAGCACUUACAUUGGACUUAUAAUGGUUCUUAUCUACAGCAAGUUGUAAAGCGGCUUAUUAGCGUCAGCUAAUUGACAUGUGAUGUAAUGAAGGUGUGAAGGUGUGGACUCUGCUAUGAAUCAGGCUGAGGACCCAGAGGACGGAGUCCCUCCCUCUAAAGCCCCUCUGUGUGGGGAACAUGACAGCCAGACCAAAGCUCAGAGGACCCAUCAGAGACCAGGACCUGGACCUGGACCCAGCUGUGUGUCCAUGAAGAGUGAUCGGUCUAAAGGUCGACUGACUUCAAAGAUGGACGUGGUUCUUAUGAGCCUCACUAAGCUCUUGAACAGAAGAACCAGAUGAAGAACAUGAUGAUUGGUUGUAUUGUAACAUUAAGUGAAUAUGGAUUGAUGUCAGUGAGGGAUUUCACAUUCGUUUGUGGUGUGAAAACAUGGCAGGUCUCCCUGCUCGAUGUCGCACCGUCUCAUUCAUUCACUUGGCUCAUGACGUCCACCUGAAUGUUCCUCUUUGGCUAAAAAGUGCCCUAAAUCGCUUGAGACAGGUAACAUCACAUUAUGGCUCAGUUCAGUGCACCUCGUGACUCACUCUCCACCAAUCAGAGCGCUUGAUUUCACCCGUAUUAUAAAAGAAUAUACGAUACGGGACAUGAAACAUAACCAGUAGUCCAAGUGCAAGCAGAUGGUGAAUUUAUGCUACUUUGUUGAAUUCAUAUGUUUGUGAAUGUGACUUUGAAAGAGUCAGAGCCUCCAGCCACCAACCUCACCGCACGUCACUGCCAGCAGCUCUGUGAAAGGUCCAACGUCUAGUUUCAGAAGAUCUAAGGAGACUUCUACAGGCAGCUUCAGACUGAUACGUGGGGAAGUUGUUCCGCCCCAACAGGUUCAACCUGAUCAUCAACACCACCGCGUGAGGACGUGAGGACACACCCUCUCUGAUGAAGGACAACAAGCUCUAACAAGCUGCAACACUUCACUCCGUCUGAUGGAAGCUGAAGUGAAGCACGGAGCUCCUUUUCUACACGGACCUGCUGAGGACAGAAGAGAGCUUCUCACUGAGGAAGUUCAUGUCUACAAGCUCACAGGUUGUUGUGAAGGUGUGAAGGUGUGGACUCUGCUAUGAAUCAGGCUGAGGACCCAGAGGACGGAGUCCCUCCCUCUGAAGCCCCUCUGUGUGGGGAACAUGACAGCCAGACCAAAGCUCAGAGGAUCCAUCAGAGACCAGGACCUGGACCUGGACCCAGCUGUGUGUCUAUGAAGAGUAACUGGUCUAUGGAGCUUCCUAUAGAAUUCAAAGAUGUUGGUCCCUCUGUUGAUGCAAGGGCCCUUCAGCAGUGUCCAGUGAGGGAGGGAGAGCUCCAUGGAGGACUUGGUGAGACCUGUUGGGACUAAACCAAACUGACUGGUGAAGAAAACAGUGAGCUGAAAG
ensembl:lncRNA